AAAUAGAUCCGGUAGGUAAGGCUACUACAGGGAUAUGGGUUGCUGCCGCAAAAUAGUGGAGACACUAUGCGUUGGUUUGAACAGGCGAUAUCGAAACCAAGGUAUCAUCUAAUGCAACUUCACCGCCCUGUAGAGUUAAAGCUCAAACGGUGGCGUAAAUCA
rnacentral:sRNA from 23 species